rnacentral:misc_RNA from 1 species
CAAGGCUUUCCCUUUUUUUUUUUUGGCAUACAUUUCCGAAUCUCUACAUGCUGCUUUCAUCUUUGAAAGCCUCCCAUCCAAAUUUCUUAAAUAGCAUUUGGGAUGAGUGAAGGACAACCACCUACAUCUAGGGCACGUGCAUCGCAUGCCACCUUUUUCCUAAAAUGGAGCCCUCGUAAAAAUUACAAGCCAAAAAAAACAACCAAUAAGAUAAGAA